UUACUCGAUAUUCGUCCUUCGGGCUGAGUGUCCAAGCGAAAGCGAUAAGUAAGCCACCUGGGGAGUACGCCCGCAAGGGUUGAACCUCAAAGGGAAUUGACGUGGGUCCGCACAAGCGGUGGAGCAUUGUGGUUUAAUUCGAUGAUACGCGAGGAACCUUACCUAGGCUCGAAUGGUAGCGGGAGUGAUGUGAAAGCUGAUCGUCCCUUCGGGACUGCCUACCAAGGUGCUGCAUGGUUGUCGUCGGCUCGUGCCGUGAGGUGUUGGGUUAAGUCCCGCAACGAGCGCAACCCUUGUUUCCAGUUGCCAGCAAGUAAAGUUGGGGACUCUGGAAAGACUGCCGGCGUAAGCCGCGAGGAAGGUGGGGAUGACGUCAAAUCAUCAUGGCCUUUAUGCCUAGGGCUACACACGUGCUACAAUGGUGCAUACAAUGGGCAGCGAAGCCGCGAGGUGGAGCCAAUCCAAGAAAGUGCAUCUCAGUUCAGAUUGGAGUCUGGAACUCGACUCCAUGAAGGUGGAAUCGCUAGUAAUCGCGCAUCAGCCAUGGCGCGGUGAAUACGUUCCCGGACCUUGUACACACCGCCCGUCAAGCCAUGGAAGCUGGGGGUGCCUGAAGAUGGUGACUUUACGGGGAGCUAUCUAAGG
rnacentral:rRNA from 1 species